AUGGAUGAGCCCCUAAUUUCUGUUAUGACCCAGUCCAGAGAGGAUACGGCAGUGUGUUUAGAGCAGGUUUAUGUACGGACCUUAAACGAAGUUAGUGUGGAGGACACUGGACGUGACGCCCCGCCCACCCUCACGGUCCUGCCCCCCUCCAGUGUACAGCUGCAGCAGGAGAAGGUCACACUCGUGUGUCUGGCCAACAAGGGCUUCCCCUCAGACUGGAAGCUGAGCUGGAAGGUGGCAGGUAGCAGCUGGAGCUCGGGGGUGAGCCAGAGCUCCGGGCUACUGCAGAAGGACGGCCUCUACAGCUGGAGCAGCACCCUGACCCUCCAGAAGGAGGAGUGGCUGAAGAACACAGUGACCUGUGAGGCCACCAAGGACUCCCAGUCUCCUGUCACACAGACACUGAGUAGAGAGCAGUGUGCUGAGGCGUGA